UACGUAGGGUGCAAGCGUUAAUCGGAAUGACUGGGCGUAAAGGGUGCGCAGGCGGUUUGUUAAGACAGAGGUGAAAUCCCCGGGCUUAACCUGGGAAUGGCCUAUGUGACUGGCAGGCUAGAGGAUGGCAGAGGGAGGCGGAAUUCCACGUGUAGCAGUGAAAUGCGUAGAGAUGUGGAGGAACACCGAUGGCGUAGGCAGCCUCCUGGGCCAAUUCUGACGCUCAGGCACGAAAGCGUGGGGAUCAAACAGG
rnacentral:rRNA from 1 species